rnacentral:rRNA from 1 species
UACGGAGGGUGCAAGCGUUGUCCGGAAUCACUGGGCGUAAAGCGCGUGUAGGCGGCUGAGUAAGUCUGCUCUGAAAGCCCGGGGCUCAACCCCGGGAGGCGGGUGGAUACUGCUCAGCUCGAGUCCGGAAGAGGAGUGUGGAAUUCCUGGUGUAGCGGUGAAAUGCGCAGAUAUCAGGAGGAACACCAAUGGCGAAGGCAGCACUCUGGGACGGUACUGACGCUGAGACGCGAAAGCGUGGGGAGCAAACAGG